UACGUAGGGUGCGAGCGUUAAUCGGAAUUACUGGGCGUAAAGCGUGCGCAGGCGGUCUUGCAAGACAGGUGUGAAAUCCCCGGGCUUAACCUGGGAACUGCACUUGUGACUGCAAGGCUGGAGUGCGGCAGAGGGGGAUGGAAUUCCGCGUGUAGCAGUGAAAUGCGUAGAUAUGCGGAGGAACACCGAUGGCGAAGGCAAUCCCCUGGGCCUGCACUGACGCUCAUGCACGAAAGCGUGGGGAGCAAACAGG
rnacentral:rRNA from 1 species